CCUACGGGUGGCAGCAGUGGGGAAUAUUGCACAAUGGGCGCAAGCCUGAUGCAGCGACGCCGCGUGCGGGAUGGAGGCCUUCGGGUUGUAAACCGCUUUUGUUCAAGGGCAAGGCACGGUCUUUGGCCGUGUUGAGUGGAUUGUUCGAAUAAGCACCGGCUAACUACGUGCCAGCAGCCGCGGUAAUACGUAGGGUGCAAGUGUUAUCCGGAUGUAUUGGGCGUAAAGGGCUCGUAGGCGGUUCGUCGCGUCCGGGGUGAAAGUCCAGCGCCUAACGGGGGAUCCGCGCCGGGUACGGGCGGGCGUGAGUGCGGUAGGGGGGACGGGAAGUGCCGGUGUAACGGUGGAAUGUGUAGAGAUCGGGAAGAACACCAAUGGCGAAGGCAGGUCUCUGGGCCGUUACUGACGCUGAGGAGCGAAAGCGUGGGGAGCGAACAGGAUUAGAUACCCUAGUAGUC
rnacentral:rRNA from 1 species